UACGUAGGGUGCGAGCGUUAAUCGGAAUUACUGGGCGUAAAGCGUGCGUAGACGGUUGCGUAAGUCAGAUGUGAAAGCCCCGGGCUCAACCUGGGAAUUGCAUUUGAGACUGCGUAGCUAGGGUGCGGAAGAGGGAAGCGGAAUUUCCGGUGUAGCGGUGAAAUGCGUAGAUAUCGGAAGGAACACCAGUGGCGAAAGCGGCUUCCUGGUCCAGCACCGACGUUCAGGCACGAAAGCGUGGGGAGCAAACAGG
rnacentral:rRNA from 1 species